AUUGAACGCUGGCGGCAGGCCUAACACAUGCAAGUCGAGCGGAUGAAGGGAGCUUGCUCCUGGAUUCAGCGGCGGACGGGUGAGUAAUGCCUAGGAAUCUGCCUGGUAGUGGGGGAUAACGUCCGGAAACGGGCGCUAAUACCGCAUACGUCCUGAGGGAGAAAGUGGGGGAUCUUCGGACCUCACGCUAUCAGAUGAGCCUAGGUCGGAUUAGCUAGUUGGUGGGGUAAAGGCCUACCAAGGCGACGAUCCGUAACUGGUCUGAGAGGAUGAUCAGUCACACGGGAACUGAGACACGGUCAGACUCCUACGGGAGGCAGCAGUGGGGAAUAUUGGACAAUGGGCGAAAGCCUGAUCCAGCCAUGCCGCGUGUGUGAAGAAGGUCUUCGGAUUGUAAAGCACUUUAAGUUGGGAGGAAGGGCAGUAAGUUAAUACCUUGCUGUUUUGACGUUACCAACAGAAUAAGCACCGGCUAACUUCGUG
rnacentral:rRNA from 1 species